CCCUUAGAUGUUCUGGGCCGCACGCGCGCUACAAUGAUGAAUUCAACGAGUUUAUAACCUUGGUUGAAAAGCCUGGGUAAUCUUUUGAACUUUCGUCGUGAUGGGGCUAGACCCUUGCAAUUAUUGGUCUCCAACGAGGAAUUCCUAGUAAACGCAAGUCAUCAGCUUGCAUUGAUUACGUCCCUGCCCUUUGUACACACCGCCCGUCGCACCUACCGAUUGUAUGGUCCGGUGAAAUCUUCGGAUUGAGACUUUGAUUUCUUCACGGAAAACGCUGUUUUAAAAAGUUGAUUAAACCUUACCAUUUAGAGGAAGGUGAAGUCGUAACA
rnacentral:rRNA from 1 species